rnacentral:rRNA from 1 species
CUUCCUACGGGACGCAGCAGUGGGGGAUAUUGCACAAUGGGGGGAACCCUGAUGCAGCGACGCCGCGUGAAGGAAGAAGUAUCUCGGUAUGUAAACUUCUAUCAGCAGGGAAGAAAAUGACGGUACCUGACUAAGAAGCCCCGGCUAACUACGUGCCAGCAGCCGCGGUAAUACGUAGGGGGCAAGCGUUAUCCGGAUUUACUGGGUGUAAAGGGAGCGUAGGCGGCAGUGCAAGUCAGAAGUGAAAGCCCGUGGCUUAACCGCGGAACGGCUUUGGAAACUGUGGAACUGGAGUGCUGGAGAGG